AGAACGAACGCUGGCGGCAUGCCUAACACAUGCAAGUCGAACGCUUGCCCGGUUUCGGCCGGGCAGGAGUGGCGCACGGGUGAGUAGCGCGUGGGAACCUGCCCUGGAGUGGGGGAUAACCGAGGGAAACUUCGGCUAAUACCGCAUGCGCCCGGGAAACCGGGGAAAGAUUUAUCGCUCUAGGAGGGGCCCGCGUCGGAUUAGCUAGUUGGUGGGGUAACGGCCUACCAAGGCUUUGAUCCGUAGCUGGUCUGAGAGGAUGAUCAGCCACACUGGGACUGAGACACGGCCCAGACUCCUACGGGAGGCAGCAGUGGGGAAUAUUGGACAAUGGGCGCAAGCCUGAUCCAGCAAUGCCGCGUGAGUGAUGAAGGCCUUCGGGUUGUAAAGCUCUUUCGCACGCGAGGAUGAUGACGCUAGCGUGAGAAGAAGCCCCGGCUAACUUCGUGCCAGCAGCCGC
rnacentral:rRNA from 1 species